GAUGAACGCUGGCGGCGUGCCUAAUACAUGCAAGUCGAGCGAAUGGAUUAAGAGCUUGCUCUUAUGAAGUUAGCGGCGGACGGGUGAGUAACACGUGGGUAACCUGCCCAUAAGACUGGGAUAACUCCGGGAAAACGGGGCUAAUACCGGAUAACAUUUUGAACUGAAUGGUUCGAAAUUGAAAGGCGGAAUCGGCUGUCACUUAUGGAUGGACCCGCGUCGCAUUAGCUAGUUGGUGAGGUAACGGCUCACCAAGGCAACGAUGCGUAGCCGACCUGAGAGGGUGAUCGGCCCCACGGGGACUGAGACACGGCCCAGACUCCUACGGGAGGCAGCAGUAGGGAAUCUUCCGCAAUGGACGAAAGUCUGACGGAGCAACGCCGCGUGAGUGAUGAAGGCUUUCGGGUCGUAAAACUCUGUUGUUAGGGAAGAACAAGUGCUAGUUGAAUAAGCUGGCACCUUGACGGUACCUAACCAGAAAGCCACGGCUAACUACGUGCCAGCCGCCGCAGUAA
rnacentral:rRNA from 1 species